rnacentral:rRNA from 1 species
UACAGGGGGGGCGAGCGUUGUUCGGAAUUACUGGGCGUAAAGCGUGCGCAGGCGGUUGUGUAAGACAGGUGUGAAAUCCCCGGGCUUAACCUGGGAAUGGCAUUUGUGACUGCACGGCUAGAGUGUGUCAGAGGGGGGUAGAAUUCCACGUGUAGCAGUGAAAUGCGUAGAGAUGUGGAGGAAUACCGAUGGCGAAGGCAGCCCCCUGGGAUAACACUGACGCUCAUGCACGAAAGCGUGGGGAGCAAACAGG